AAGCACGAGAGAGGUGGCUCUUUGCCCGGAGGGACAGAGCCUGCUCACAAGAUUUUGUCCUCUCUGACGGUAAGGACACAGGCUUAGGAGUCCUGAUCCAGGCCCUGGGGUUUCAGCGCAACUAAAUAAAGCUCCUGGCAUACCGAGGGCCUGGAGGUGGGGCUGCUGGAGGAGCCCUGGGGCUUUCCCCUCAUUCCUGGGGUGGGGGUGGGGGAGCCUCCAGGGCAUUCUCGCCCUGUCUCCAGAACUUGCCUGAAUCCAGUCUCCUGCGUUUCUGACCCCGCUGCCGGGGAUCCUGUAACCCCAGCAGCACAGAGGCCUGUUCCACGGAGGUGCGGUGAUUUUAGGGGGCCUCACCUCGUCCUGUCAACAAGAAGGACCUGCCAUCGUGGUGAGAGCGUGGAUCCUAAAAUCACUUCCCCCUCCCUCCCACCUCCUCUCCCGCCCCCACACGCCUGCCUGCUCCCACAGAGAAGUCAUGUGAGGCCUUCUCAGAUUGAGCACAGGAACGAGCCAGUGGCCCAGCUCUGCCCUGUGACACACAUAGCCUCCAGCGGUCACAUGGCCUCCAGCUGCCACCACCUGCCCUCUGUCCCCAGCCCAGUGCCCUCUCCCUGGCCGGCUUCCCUUGUCCCUCCAGGCUGUAAGCUUGGCAGAUAGCAGGACGGAGGGACCGAGGUUUCAGGGCCAACAGGCUUGGACGGUUCUGGUCCUAGCUGACCUGAAGGUGGGACCCCAUCCAGUAGUCUCCUCCACACCACGUGGGGUGCCCCACUGAGAAGUAGGUGCCCCACUGGCUGGCUGCAGACGUGGAUGGAGCUAUUUGCAGCCGGAUCCUGCAGCCAGCCCCAACCAGAGCCCCCACGAACAGGGAGCUUGGCCAUUGGAGACAAGGUGUAAAACAAGGCUGUGCGAGGAGCCAAGAGCACCAUCCAGGAAAACCACUGAAUUUGCUGGUGAAAGGAAAGUACAGGAAAAAAGUGAAAUGCCAGACCUGCAUUGAGUUUCCCUGUCAUUUGUCAUAGCUCAGUGUACUCUGCAUCCCACAAAAGAUUGUGACUCGUGGAAGAUAAGGACUUACUGAAUUCAUCUCAGUGUCCCCAGCGCCCACUGGACAAACAGCCUCGCAAGUGUAAAUGUGCUGAAUCCCAGAGAAGAUUCAAGCCCUGACUCUGCCACUUGCCGGGGUCAGGUACAGCCUGCAUUAGAAGCUGGUGAAAAAUAGAAUCUUCGCCUUGCCCGGUCACCACAAAGGUCAAGUGAGGCUGGAGAAUGCAUCUGGGUAGCCUUCUUGCUCUAAUAAACUUCUGGAAGCUCCAUGGUCCACUCCCAUCUCCAGCCCAGCACUGAGCCAGAAGAUGGUAUUGAAAUGUGACCCAGUGUUCCUGAUCAGCCCCCAGCACCACCCUGCUGGGUCCAGACAUGUAUGGCUCCGCUGAAUCCUGCAGAAAGGACCUGUGGUCUUUGGCAAAUGGAAAGAUCCUUCCCCAUUUUCCUGCACAUUUCCCGUCACACUACAUUCCUUUGGACUUUUAAUGACAUUUUGCAUGAGAGGGGUGCAAAAUGCAUAUAUUUGUAUUCCAUCUUAUAUCCCACCAAAGUUUUUAAGUUAGGUAGGUUUCUUUUAAGAAACAUUUCUGACUGGGGAAUGCUCAUUACCAUGAUCCUUUAGAAGCGAAUACUUAUUCUCUCACCAUUGGGUUUGAAUCUCCGCUCCUCCAACUACUGCCUGCGUGAGUUUGAACCGAUGACUUGAUGUCUCCAAAUCAGUGUUCUCAUCUGUAAAGUGGGAACAAUGCCAUUUUCUACUCAGGGUGACUGUAAACUUGAGAAAUAAUUGCAGAUUGCUCAUAAUAGGCACUCAAUAAACCACUGGCCUCCUGUGUACAGGGGAGGCAUAAUGUA